UUGGGAAUCUUCGGCAAUGGGGGGAACCCUGACCGAGCAACGCCGCGUGAGUGAAGAAGGUUUUCGGAUCGUAAAGCUCUGUUGUUAAGGAAGAACGAGUGCGAGAAUGGAAAGUUCAUGCUGUGACGGUACUUAACCAGAAAGGGACGGCUAACUACGUGCCAGCAGCCGCGGUAAUACGUAGGUCCCGAGCGUUGUCCGGAUUUAUUGGGCGUAAAGCGAGCGCAGGCGGUUAGAAAAGUCUGAAGUGAAAGGCAGUGGCUCAACCAUUGUAGGCUUUGGAAACUGUUUAACUUGAGUGCAGAAGGGGAGAGGGGAAUUCCAUGUGUAGCGGUGAAAUGCGUAGAUAUAUGGAGGAACACCGGUGGCGAAAGCGGCUCUCUGGUCUGUAACUGACGCUGAGGCUCGAAAGCGUGGGGAGCGAACAGG
rnacentral:rRNA from 1 species